rnacentral:lncRNA from 1 species
CAACAACAACAACAACAACAACAAAAACAACGAAGACCAUGACAAUGACGACGACGACAACAACGACAACAACAACAACGAUGAUAAACAACGACAAUGACGAUACAUUACGACAACAACAACAACAACAAUGACAACAACGACAACGACAACAACAACCUCAUCGACAAGAAAAACAAUAACAAAAACAGCGAAGACAACAACGACGAAGAUGACAACAACAACAUCAACAACAACAACGACAACAACAACAACAACCAAAACAACAACAACAACAACAACAACAACAACAACAACAACGACAACGACGACGAUGACGACUACGACGAUGACGACGACGACGAUAGCGACGACAACAACGACAACGACAAUGACAACGACAACAACAACAACAACAACAACAACAACAACAACAACAACAACAACA